rnacentral:lncRNA from 1 species
CCGCCAUUACGUUUUUUGUGUUGUUGCUGGGAAGAAGAGUUUAUAUAAUUGCUCCAGGUUGUUGUUAAGAAAAAAGAGAAUAUCUAAUGUACAAAGGUUUAGCUGGUUUAUAUGAUGCAACACGCUAGGUAUCUUAGCAGAGAAGAUAAUUGUUCAGUUCCAUUGUUUGUUGCGGUUGUGGCAGAGAAGUUGGAAAUCUGAUAGAUAGUUCCAUGUUGUGUAGAGGCGAUGGCAGUGAUGUCGCCAAAUAGGUGAAAAUAAAGAAGUGUGUGCCAGUUGAUGAUGAUACAGCUGUCUGGCAAAUUGCAUUCAGAAAGCCUGGCCUACUGGGCUUAGACAGCUGGAAGCAGAUAUAAUGUGUGACAGAUAUUACAUUUUAAGGAGGUAUAAUUGUGAAGCGGAGACAAAAUGUCCAGAAACGUCCUGUACAGACAAAAGUGACAACUAGAGAGGCAAAAUAAGUAUGCAACACUUUAGAAAGUCUGAAAAUUGAAUAGAGCUGUGACAAACAGAGUUCCAUCAAAGAAGUGAGGUUGAUAGAGCAAAGCUGAAGUAGGCAUGGUUUAAGCAAAGAGCUCAGUUAGAUAGAUUUUUAACAGACUUGAGGCAAACAAAGUUUUAGCAAAUAUGAGACAGAUAGAGUUGCACACAGAGAUUCAGCAAACAGCUGAGGCAGAUGGAGUUUCAGCAAAGAAUUGAGGCAGAUGGAGUUUCAGCAAAGAAUUGAGGCAGAUGGAGUUUCAGCAAAGAAUUGAGGCAGAUGGAAUUUCAGCAAAGAAUUGAGGCAGAUGGAGUUUCAGUAAAGAACUGAGGCAGAUGGAGUUUCAAAAGAACCGAGGGAGAUGGAGUUUCAGCUAAGAGCUGAGGCAGAUGGAGUUUCAGCAAACAACUGAGGCACACUUGAGUUUUAGCAAACAGCUGAGGCACAGAGUUUCAGCAAACAGCAGAGGCACAGAGUUUCAGCAAACAGCUGAGGCACAGAGUUUCAGCAAACAGCUGAGGCACACAAGAGUUUCAGCAAACAGCUGAGGCACACAAAGUUUCAGUAAAGAGGCACACUAGCAAGGAACUGUGUUUCAGCAAAGAUAUAAACAAAGAGCCGAGGCAGGCAAUGUCUU